UAGGAAAUUCGCAAACUUUUACAACACUCACACUCUUGAAAGUUUCUUUUAUCGCCAAGUAGCGGUGUGAGAACAACAUAACUGGUUUGAGAAAACAUUAACUGCCACAAAAAUUUUGCGAGAGGUUUGAGUGACCCGGCACAUGCGCAUAAAGGAAGAAAUACAGGAAAGCAUACCAUAUGAAAGCGUGUUAAAUGCGAAAGCAAACGAACUAGGCAGUCAUGCCAGAUGGUUCGAGAAGACCUCAGAAAAUGUCAAGAGCAGGGCACUAGGGAAGCAAUGGAGCACCUCUUGUCCACUUGUCCCGCAUUGCCAAGACUACGAUGUAAGCAUUUGGGAUCCCCACAAUGUGGGCAUCGAAAGUGAGGCCGCAGAGUCUGUUAAAAUUAGCAAGUAAACUCCAUCUGGUAUCGCAAAGGACCAAACUGGUCUAUGCGUGGCUUAUUGGCCUAACCUAACCUAAUUUAAGAACUUUAUACAUAAUUUUUUUCUGAAUUAGCAUUUCUGUCAUUCUUCUUAGGUAUGCAUAUAAUUCUUAUAAAUAAGAAACAAUUUCAACUUUCACUUUGGUUUCCUUAUACCAGGAACAGGGUACAUUAAAUGUGUUAUGAAAUUUGGAACACAAAGACGAUAUCGUCCGAGUCCCAAUAAAAUGUAUAUAUAUAAAUGAUCACAAUUA